GACGAACGCUGGCGGCGCGCCUAACACAUGCAAGUCGAACGAGAGAUGAGGAGCUUGCUCUUCAAAUCGAGUGGCGAACGGGUGAGUAACGCGUGAGGAACCUGCCUCAAAGAGGGGGACAACAGUUGGAAACGACUGCUAAUACCGCAUAAGCCCACGGCUCGGCAUCGAGCAGAGGGAAAAGGAGCAAUCCGCUUUGAGAUGGCCUCGCGUCCGAUUAGCUAGUUGGUGAGGUAACGGCCCACCAAGGCGACGAUCGGUAGCCGGACUGAGAGGUUGAACGGCCACAUUGGGACUGAGACACGGCCCAGACUCCUACGGGAGGCAGCAGUGGGGAAUAUUGCACAAUGGGGGAAACCCUGAUGCAGCGACGCCGCGUGGAGGAAGAAGGUCUUCGGAUUGUAAACUCCUGUUGUUGAGGAAGAUAAUGACGGUACUCAACAAGGAAGUGACGGCUAACUACGUGCCAGCAGCCGCGGUAAAACGUAGGUCACAAGCGUUGUCCGGAAUUACUGGGUGUAAAGGGAGCGCAGGCGGGAGGACAAGUUGGAAGUGAAAUCCAUGGGCUCAACCCAUGAACUGCUUUCAAAACUGUUUUUCUUGAGUAGUGCAGAGGUAGGCGGAAUUCCCGGUGUAGCGGUGGAAUGCGUAGAUAUCGGGAGGAACACCAGUGGCGAAGGCGGCCUACUGGGCACCAACUGACGCUGAGGCUCGAAAGUGUGGGUAGCAAACAGGAUUAGAUACCCUGGUAGUCCACACCGUAAACGAUGAUUACUAGGUGUUGGAGGAUUGACCCCUUCAGUGCCGCAGUUAACACAAUAAGUAAUCCACCUGGGGAGUACGACCGCAAGGUUGAAACUCAAAGGAAUUGACGGGGGCCCGCACAAGCAGUGGAGUAUGUGGUUUAAUUCGACGCAACGCGAAGAACCUUACCAAGUCUUGACAUCCUGCGACGCACAUAGAAAUAUGUGUUUCCUUCGGGACGCAGAGACAGGUGGUGCAUGGUUGUCGUCAGCUCGUGUCGUGAGAUGUUGGGUUAAGUCCCGCAACGAGCGCAACCCUUAUGGUCAGUUACUACGCAAGAGGACUCUGGCCAGACUGCCGUUGACAAAACGGAGGAAGGUGGGGAUGACGUCAAAUCAUCAUGCCCUUUAUGACUUGGGCUACACACGUACUACAAUGGCGUUAAACAAAGAGAAGCAAGACCGCGAGGUGGAGCAAAACUCAGAAACAACGUCCCAGUUCGGACUGCAGGCUGCAACUCGCCUGCACGAAGUCGGAAUUGCUAGUAAUCGUGGAUCAGCAUGCCACGGUGAAUACGUUCCCGGGCCGU
rnacentral:rRNA from 1 species